rnacentral:misc_RNA from 1 species
CGUAAGGGUGACUAGUAAAUUUAAUCGUGUUUUCAUUAAGUACUAUAAAGCACUACUAUUUAAUAAAAGUCUGGAGUCGAUCUGAUGAUGGAGAAGAAAGAUAGUCGAGGGAACUCUUCAACAAUUUAUAGCAAUUAACUGCUGUUUGAACUUAAUUCGUUUCUAUUGAUGAGAACUUUGCACCUGUAUGAGUUAUAAGUGCCAUUACAGUCUGAUGAUGGAGACAAAAUUAGUCGAGGGAACUCUUUAACGAUUUAUAGCAAU